GCUGGCGGCAUGCCUAACACAUGCAAGUCGAACGGUAACGCGGAGAGCUUGCUCUCUGGCGACGAGUGGCGGACGGGUGAGUAACACUUAGGAAUCUGCCCAGUAGUGGGGGACAACAUUCGGAAACGGAUGCUAAUACCGCAUACGCACUACGGUGGAAAGUGGGGGAUCUUCGGACCUCACGCUAUUGGAUGAGCCUAAGUCGGAUUAGCUUGUUGGUAGGGUAAUGGCCUACCAAGGCGACGAUCCGUAGCUGGUCUGAGAGGACGAUCAGCCACACUGGGACUGAGACACGGCCCAGACUCCUACGGGAGGCAGCAGUGGGGAAUAUUGGACAAUGGGCGCAAGCCUGAUCCAGCAAUGCCGCGUGUGUGAAGAAGGCCUGCGGGCUGUAAAGCACUUUCAGUAGAGAAGAAAAGCACAGGGUUAAUAUCCCUGAGUCUUGACGUAACCUACAGAAGAAGCACCGGCUAACUCCGUG
rnacentral:rRNA from 1 species